rnacentral:lncRNA from 1 species
AAAGAGAACUCCAAAUAACAACACAAGCUUAGCUUUUGCUUUAGAAGUUUCUAGAAUUUAGUUGAUGCUAUUGGAGCUAUCAUGAACUGAUACAGUCCCCGUGGGGAGUGACUGUAUGAGCUCGAACUGGACUUGGACAUUUCUCCAGCCCUCUGUGGUUCCAGUUGAGAAAAAUCCAGUCCUUCCAUGAGACCUCGGUACACACAGAACUCCUCCUACCACGUGCAACCUUAUUCUCGGCUGAGCAACUCAUAAAUCGCAUAACAAAAACA